UUGAAACACCAAUUCCUGUACGAUCACCAAAUUUAAUCUAUGUUAAGCCUGAUCAGUAUGUAGAUGGGUGACCUCUUGGGAAUACCAGGUGCUGUAAU